rnacentral:rRNA from 1 species
CAGUAGCCGCGGGAAUACGAACCGUGCGAACGUUAUUCGGAAUCACUGGGCUUAAAGCGCGUGUAGGCGGGCCGGCACGUCGGUCGUUGAAAUCCCCCGGCUCAACCGGGGAAGUGGCGCCGAUACGACCGGCCUGGAGGAACGUAGGGGGAGCUGGAACUUCCGGUGGAGCGGUGAAAUGCGUUGAGAUCGGAAGGAACGCCCGUGGCGAAAGCGAGCUCCUGGACGUUUUCUGACGCUGAGACGCGAAAGCCAGGGGAGCGAACGGGAUUAGAUACCCGCGUAGUCCCUGUCUCUUAUA